CCUACGGGUGGCAGCAGUAGGGAAUCUUCCACACUGGGCGAACGCCUGAUGGAGCAACGCCGCGUGGGUGAAGCAUGUCUUCGGAUCUUAAAACCCUUUUGUUAGAGAAGAAAGUGCGUGCGAGUAACUGUUCACGUUUCUACUGUAUCUAACCAGAACGCCACGGCGAAUUACGUCCCAGAAGUCGCGGUAAUACGUAGGUGGCAAGCUUUAUCCGGUUUUAUUGGGUGUAAAGGUAACGCAGGCGGGCUUUUAAGUCUGAUGUGAAAGGCUUCGGCUUAACCGGAGUAGUGCAUUGGAAACUGGGAGACUUGAGUGCAGAUGAGGAGAGUGGAAGGCCAUGUGUAGCGGUGAAAUGCGGAGAUAUAUGGAAGAACACCAGUGGCGAAGGCGGCUUGCUGGGUCGAUACUGACAUUGAGGCACGAAAGCGUGGGGAGCAAACAGGAUUAGAUACCCGAGUAGUC
rnacentral:rRNA from 1 species